CCUGCCUCUAGGCUUGCGGAACCAACUGCUGGGAGGCAGCUGGGUUUGCAGAGAGGCCGGUGGUCAGCAGCACCUGUGAGGCUAUCAGUCCCUUCUUGGAACGGUUCUUCAAAAUUUACAGUAUGGAAAGCCCAGCGGUGAUGUUCAAGCCUCUACUGAGAAAACAGCAAGGGCUUUGGAUCAGGACAGACCUGAUGUCCUUGACUUUUGCGUAUGUCCUCUUUGCGUUUUGGAAUCCCAUUCUGGAUACCGCAUCACAUUUAGUCAUCGCAUCUCAUCUCGGCUGUGGCAGUUAGUUACUGUAACCCUAGAUGAAUACUAUUUAUUGCUUGAGUGGCAUAUGGAGGGUUCAGCAUCAAUUCACAUAGGCAUCCCCCAGAGGAAGAAAAUAGAUUCCAGACCUGCUGCUAAUCCUCUCCUUCCCAACUUCCUAAGCCAUUCUUCUCAGUGACAAUUCGAGUGCUACUGCUUGGUGUCACAUCAUUAUAAUCGCACUGGAGUGGGGUUGAUCAAGUACAUAAAGAGCUGCUCUGUCCUGCCUUGGACGACAGUCACAGUGAAGACCCUUACAUUGUCUGCCUCGUAUAAGUUUACCAGUCAGCAGUGGAAGAACCAAUCAGGG
rnacentral:lncRNA from 1 species